AUGGGGAGGUAAGGACCACGAAUUGGUGCGAGGUGAUUUAUUCCGCUGGGGAGCCGCUGCCUGUGAGAUAGCUCUCCUUUGCCAAUGUGUAGGGUGGCAGAGUCUCUCCUUCGCCCCCUCUCCUUGCUCCCUCCUUUCCCAAGGUCCGCAAUGUAAUGUGUAAGCAAUAGCAAAUGUAACAGUUCAUAAAUCAAACAGUGGGUCGCAAGCCAAUCUGCAUUUCCCAAACGGAUUGAAUCCCAGCAACGAAUGUGCUCAGGAACUGGAGCCAGGCGCCUUUACCACUGGAAGCAAUGUUGAUUUUUUAAUGAUAAAAUACAUUAUGCGUGUGUUGGGGGGAGCUUUGCAGAGAGAGCUCAGCCUCGCUUCGGCAGACACAGGUCUGCUUGAAUUUCGUUUUACUUUGGCCUCCCUCUAGACUCAAUCCCCACCAUCACCAAAGAAAAAGGAAAACCCUGGAGAGCAGAGCUUUGUUUAAAUUAUUUGGGUUAUUUUCCCUCCCCACAGAGGAUUUAGACCUAAAUUGAUUUUUGCGUGCACAUCUCUGUAUUCAUGAGGUCAGGCGCUGCUGUUAUGGUUUCCCUUAGCGCGAAAUGCCAGAUGCCGAGGAGAGAGGGGAGAGGGAGCCCUUGCUGGGGUGCGAGGGGCUCCGCAGCCUGCUGUCUGAGCCGGCUGGGCCCCGGGGAGCCCCCGCCGGAGGCCGGCAAGGCGCCCCGCUCCGCCCCGGGGUAUCCGGGCGCCGGUGCCGCCCGCUGUCGGCAUCCCCCGGCUCGGUGCCGGGCGUGCUCCCGCCCCCGCCUUCCCGGCGGCUGGACGGUGCCCGUCCGUCCGUGGGAGGACGAUGGAAGGGGGCCUACCAGCUUCCCCUCACCCCACAGAAGAAAGAUAAAACGCCCUAAUAAGGGGGUGGUUUCCAGCUCAUUAGCGGACUCGAGUUAUCUUCGUGUGAAGUUCAAUUACUAAUGAAUAAUCUCUCCGUAAUUAGCACAUCCCCCAAUUAACCCUCCGUUGAGGAGGAUAAUAAACGGUGGCAAACCAGUGAAAAACAGCCGAGCGGGUGGGGAGGGUGCCCGGUGGUCGUUCCCGGGCCCCUUUCCUCCCCACUGUCUCGUCCUGCAUCUCCUGUUUGGGACUAAUAAUUGUCGGGCGCUCACCCCCGGGGCACAGGCCGGGCCUGCCGAGCUGGCCGGGAUGCACUAACCUGCAUUGCAGCCCGGGAUUUCCCGCAGGGACGGCAGCAAACCCCGCUCCCGCCGGCUCAGCUCCCCCCGGACAAACUGGCGAGAGAGGCUCUUUCCGCCGGCAGCUCCGUGCUUUUUUCGGGGGGCACGAACAACCAAAAAACUCCCCCUUCCUUUCCUCCCGUUCAUUUCUUAAGAGCCCCUCAAUGCUCAGGGUAUUGGUUGUUCUCUUUUCUGCUCUUUUCGGGGGCCGUUUCUGGAGCCUGAGUGCAAUGGUCGAUUUUAUGUAUUUAAUUUUCUGGACCACAGGGAUGGAUGCUUGUUCUGCCUUGCCAUGUUGUGUGGCCAAGGAAACACGAGCCCUCCGCCAAGUCCCAGAAAGGGACUGAGUGUACUGGGCUUGCCUCCUGCCGCCUUGCACCUGUGGGGUUUGUAGAGGCUGCGGGAAAGGCUGGGCUGUCUCUUGCCAGGCUGGUCCCACUGCCCCAGGCAGCGGCUGCUGCAGAAAGAGCUGGAAGAGGCUCAAGCCUCUAACAUCCCUUCUUAACUCCUGGGCAAACGUGAGCUGGUGAACUGCAGAGGGGGAAAACGCAACAGAAAAGCAUUCAAACCUUGACAGUGACCACAGUAAAAUUAUCCCCUGCUUAAAAGAAAAUGCGCACACACGCACGCAUAAAGGAGGGGAAAAAAAAAAAAAAGAAAAAAAAAAAGAAAAAACCCCAAAACAACAACAACAACAAAAUAUAUGCAGAUCAACAGGGGAAAAACCCGCAGCUGAAACAAAAGACAAGCCAGUGCAUUUCUAGCUGGCUGGAUAAUCAGGAAGGGUUGCAGCCAUUGCGGCUCUGCCUGCCCUAAUUCCUAUCCCCAGCUCCGACUGAGCAACCGCAGCCCCGCAGUCCCCGGAGGGCUGCAGAGCGCUGGCUCCUUCUUCCCCGGCAGCGCUGGAUGCACCCGUGCCUGGCCUGCGGCUGCUCUCCUGCUGCCUCCCUCCCCCUUUUAGCAGCCUGGCUGAGCCCUGCAGGGAGGACUGCACCUUGCCCCGGGUCGGGCUGAGCUGGUGGCGGUCGAUUAUUUUUGCUUUAAGGAGAAAAAAAAAAAAAAGAAAGGCCUUUUUGCCAUCUGUUCAAAGGCUGUAACAGGGAGAUGGAGUGGGCCUGUGCUGGGAGCAAAAGCUUGAGCCAGGACACACAAAACUGAGGAAAAAUCUGUCUGAGUGGUAGUGAGAGCAAAUUGGUCGGUGCUUAGGGAGGCACGGUAUGAAAGUAAGGUGCAGUAUCCAUUUCUGACAGGACUUUUUGCUGGCUAUACCUACAUCUCUUGAUGUACAUCUCAUGAAUGGAUCAGUGGCUCUUCCAGCCUUCUUCCUCUCCAGGAUCCUUUUAAAAUCUGUGCAGUUGUUGUCCUGCCCAGUGAAACCCAGUAAGUUCUGUGAACGCCUGACAACCUAAGGAGAGAGAGAACAGUUCAGCCUUUCUAUUCAUCAAGCUGAUUCAUUAAUGAUUAGUGCCAUUAGGUGAACUACAGUAGUGCCUGAGGGCCCCAAUUAAAGGAAAAGUGAGCUUGUUAAAUCCAGAAAGCCAGAUUCUCCCUCUGAUACUCCUGCCUGAUGCAGAGGUGGUGCCUCCAGGGUGGGCAGCAGGAAUAGCCCUGGCUUUCUGUGUCAGCAGCCUCUGUGCCUUCCCCCCUCCCUCCUCCACCUUUUCCCUCUCCCCUGCCCUAGUUGCAGAUCCUGCAUACAGGGUGCUGCAGACCAAGACUGUUGCAGGAGUUGGCUGGCAGGACUUGCAGGAGGAGGUGUCAAAUUGGCUUAUUCUUCUGAGCCACUUCAUUCUUCAUCAUGAGUGGGUUUGGGUGGGCUUUUUUUGGUUUAGGUUUUGGGUUUUUUUGGGCAGGGUUGAGAGCAGGCAAAGCGGUGGGGAUUGCAGAGGAGUCUGUUAUGAAAUCAGAUGCAAUUUUAGAUGUCUGAAAGAGUUUCUUUAGGCUAAAGGCAGCUGGAGAUCAAUUGCACUGUUGGCAAAUGUGCUUCCAGCUGGCUGGUGCCUCUCUUGAGGGACAAUUUCAACCCAGGGCCCAUUGCAAUGGUAGUAGAGGAAGGGGCUUUCAUUUGCUUUGGGCUAAGGACUUUCUGCUGCCCAGUUCCACCAGUGAGAAGAGAAACUGGAGAUGAUGUGGGAGAGUCACAACAGCAUUAUUACUGGUGCUGGAAGUCUCUUCAGAGAAACAACAUUGCUGCAGGGGACAAACAACUAGUCCUGACCUUCUUUACACAGCCAUUCUCUGGGAAAAGUUUCCCCUGAAGUCAGUGUGCAUUCUUCCUAGCUUUCAUCAGAAGAAAAAUGCCCGGAUUGAAAUGACAACCACAAAUAAUAGGUGUUGGUGAUUUGCACUCUCUCAACCUAAAUCUGAUAUCUGGCACAUCAAUACUUAGAAGGCUUAGGAGAAGAAGAAAACAUCAAUAUUUCACUGAACACUGAAAGUUGCACAACUCCCCAGUCUUCAUUGUAAUGUCAGCUGUGGUUAGUUCAUCGUUUUUCCUUUUUUUUCUGUAAGAUGAGUGAUUUCCACUUCUUUUUCCACUUGUUUCCACCUGUGCAAACAGCUUGUUUUUCUCCCUAGCAAGUGUUAACAAGGAUCUGCGAGGGUUUUGUUCAGGCUCAGUAGUCAGGCAGUCCUGGGGUGGCUGACUUCUAGGAAAAGCCACAGCAGGAACAAAGGAGAGCCAGCCUACGCACCAGGCACAGCUUUUGCUGGUCCUCAGCUGAUGUUCCAGCUCACACUCACGGUAAAUGAACCACCGCUAGCAGCUGCAACGCAGACCAGCGCCAGGAGGACAGAUCCGGAGGAGCUGGAUGCUUCAUCAUGGAGCUGCCCUUAGGAAAGGUUGGCCCAUUAUAGGGCAGCUUCACCCUCCUCAGCAGAGCUGCGCUAGCUCACGGCAAUUUAGGACUUGCUCUGCUCACUUCAGUCCGUGCAAUUUCAUCCUUUGUGUGAACCAGAUCAUGCAAAUGGGGGCACCGGAGUCACAGGGAAGUCGAGUUCCACGCGAGUAGUGGCAUGAGAAGGAGCAGCAAUUAGCUCUAAAUUCACUCUACCAGCCUGUCAUUUCUGAGCUCUCCCCUGCUGCUCUGCAACUGGAAGCCUCGCACUCUGGAAGAAGGGGAGAAGAACAUUUUGCUCAUGCUCAUAUUAAUCAAGUCAUCUUGUGAGCUGCUGAAUCUGUGAAAUUGUAUCUCCCAUGGAGUUCAGUGGUAAUGACUGUCUUCGAUGUGGACUCUCUGGUGUCUAAUAACACAGUUAUAUUUCUGCAGUGGAUGCACUCCCAGCAUUUUUUUCUCCUCUGACUGCCUACUUCCACAGCACUUGUAGGCAGCUCAAAUCUUUGAGACUUCUAUCCCCUGUCAAGUUUGAUCAAGCUCAGUUCACAGGCUCAAAAAUUAUUUAGGAGGGACCGACUGGCACUUGCACAGACAGUGUGAUCUCAUAAGCUUCCUUUCCUUGGGAAACUAGGCUACCAACCUAGCAACGGGGUGAAAAAAAAACCAUCCUGCUAGCAAAAAGGACCUAAACACCAGGAGGAAAGAGGGGAGGUGGGAGAGGAAAGUGAAGCUGUUUUGAAGGGAAAAAAAAAAUCACUGCUUUGUGGCUGCAGGGCUCUCACACACUUAAAGGGCCAGCCUUGGAGAAACGUGCUGGAGAAAAUAUUCUCUGGGAGAUGGAAAGUUCUCUCAAUGAAAAUUGGUAAGGGAGAGAAAUGACCUGGAUUCAUCUCACCACCUGGCAUGCUAAAUGGAUAUCUCUAUGGUAAGGAUCAUCUCUGGUGACACCUGUUUCUCCCUGUGCACUAGAGGAAGACACAGACACAAUUAGCAUGCAACCUGUACGCCUGCAGUAUCUAAAACGAGGUGUGUCCUAUCCCAAAGGGAAUGAUCUUCCCGCCCUCUCCUUCAGACCAAAGUUUUCCAUGGUGCUGCUGCAGGGUUUGUUACUUCAUGUACUACAUUUGUAUUUUAGAAAAGCUGCUGUGUGUCUUAAUAACUGCAGAUGCAUGCAUGGUUUUACUGGGCAUUUAUUAUCACUUACCCUCUUUGCACUGAAACCUUUCCUGUCCUUGUAUCUUAAGGAAUAAAAUUCUUUAAGUGAGCUUUAAUGGUUCUAUGGUUCUACUUCUUUACAAAUUAGGGAGCUGUCAUCCCACUUUUAUUUGCUAUCACAAAAUGCUUGAGUCUGUCAAAAGUAUUGUAGUGCAUACUCACACAAAUUGAUAUUUAAUUUCAGUAAUUAUAAUGUCACUAAUUGUGUUUUUGCACCUGAUGCAAUUACUCACGUUCAUCUAUUGAUCUCUUCUUUGUUCUUUCUAGAUUUAGGUGUUCCUUUACUCUUUAAUCUUCCUGCCUAUGGUAGAUCAUACAAACAAUGAAACUUGGAAAUAAAAGCUCAGAUCUUGCCAUUAAUUUCUGUGCCAGAUGAAUGGGAUAGUCUGGAAAUCUGAGUGUACCUUGGGUGCAGGAUAUGCCCAAAAUCCCACUGACUAUUUUUAUGUAACUUUUAUGAGACCUAGAGUGGGUCUUGUUAUCCAAAUAUUGCACAGUGAAAUUGUUUGUACAGGCCUAGUCUUAAUGUUUUCUAAUUUUUAGGGUAUUUUUUUGCUUGUAGUCUUUCACUUAAAAUUACUGCAGGGUUGCUGUGACAGCCCAUUUCACUUGUCCCUUUCACCAGCACUUUUCCUCACAGAUUUCCAGGAGUGAAUUUUUUGUGCCAUAUUCCCUGGAAAAAGGCUUCCUAUACCUCAGCCAUCCUCCUGUGCUCUUCUCCUCUACCUUUCCAUCAUGUUCCUGUCAAGCUAUAAUUCAUAUAAUUCAGCACUCAAGUUCCCACACUCUUUCCACUUGGUGCCUUCUAGACCCAUGAGAACAUAUUAAAGACUAUACAGCAGUAAUUUUAAUACAGGAUAAAGUAAUACCUGAUUAAAAAUGUAUACAAGGCGUAUCAGCCAAUUAGCAUGCAACAUUUGUACUUAAUCAAGCAUAAUCCAGCCAGUGCCAGUAUUGCCAUCAGAAAAAGAUCUCUGGAAGGCAACUUGAGCAGGCUUUACUAAAAGGUAUAAUUUUACUGGGGGGUGGUUGUUGAUAGGACAGCGAUCCCUUGCUGCACUGGAGCAGACACCAGGAGAGGAUGGACACCUGAGGACUCCAAACUGCAUCCUACAAUUUUCCUUUUAAGCUUUAACUCAGUGUAUGCCACCAGCUACAAAAUCAGUGAAUAAAGCGUGUGCUUUGUGUCUGCCAA